GCUGCCUGGCAAGUCAAGCUGUUCUCGCUGAUGAGAGGGGGCUGCUCUCAAGCACGCCUUGCCUUGCCAUCGUAUUUUGCACCACAGCCCGUGUGUGUUUUCUCCUUUGGCAUUUCAUCGAGAUCCUUGGCUUUAGUGCGGCAAGAGGGAAGGGUGAGGCUAGGAAGAUAUCCUUGUUGAUGGAAAGCUUUGCGACUGUGAUAUCGUGGUAGACUGCAAAGUUGGGGACCCUGUCCCGUUGGAAGUGAAGCUGACCAACUGGAGCAAACACAGCGUGGGCCCUUUUGCUCUCACGGUGACACCGUACCAGGAUUACCAAAAUGGGGUGCACAACUAUGAGCUGCAAGAUGCUAUCACUUUUGUGGGAUCCAACACCUUUUACAUCGAUUCGGUGAAGCCAACCAAGGACUCUGUGUACUUUGGAGCACUUCUCUUUCUCUACACAGGUGAUUUCUAUCUGAAUAUCAAAUUCCAUGAAGACAACUGCAGCAGGGAGCUCCCUCUCUCCUGGUUCUGCCUUCCUAGUGUCCACAUCCGUGCGAUGGAGCCUGUGAUCCAAACUAAGCUGUAGAUGUACUGUGUGCUGUUUGAUUAACCGCAGUGCACAGAAAUGCUUGGCACAGUCUCUGCUUGACCCCAGCUUGUUUCUGUCCAGCCCCCGGCCACAGUCCCUACUUUGGAGGAACAGCUGAACGCUUUCUGAAUUGGCUGAUAGUCAUUUGGGCAGCUGCUUUAGCUAAUUUCAGAGAGAGAGAAAGACAGAUUAUAAAUAUGCUGGAGUUCUCCUCUGUUUCCAAAAAGCCUUUGAAACAGCUAAUACAUGCAUUAUGCUUUCAUACACCCCAUUAAUAUCAGCGGAUUUGAAAGGGUCUUGAGGGCUGAAUUUAACCAUGUAUUUGAAAGUAUCAAUUCCAAUUUGAAUAAUCCUUCUUUAUUGUUUUAGCAAGAGUUGUGUAUCUAUAUUAAAUGCCUCCUGGUGCACAAUGAACCCUUGUGUACCUUUGGGGUGUAGUUGUCUCUCGCACUUAUUCCCAGGGUUGUUCUUAUUCCACUUGUUUGUUGAGUAUUUGUUGUCUUCAGCGGUAAACAGUGGUAGUGAUGCCUUUCGCUGUGUUACUUAGUGAAAGUAAGAAUAGCAAAUGUGCCUCCAGUUAUUCUCUUCUUCACCUGAGCUCAGUGCCUCUGCUCCUGGUGGAGUCAUUGCCUUUUGUCUGGUAGAUACGUGAACAUGAAAAGAAGGAUGGCACAGAAGAGCAAAAUUUUUGCCCUUGAGAAAGGAAAUAAGCCAACUAUUGGGUUGCUGGGGGCUAGCCUAUGAAUUCAGCUUAUGAAUUUGUGUUUCAAACAAUCACAGCCACCAGGAACAUUUGCAGACCCUUAAAAAGUGCCACCAAAAUUAAUCAGCUGGCCAUUAUUAUCACUUUGUGUGAGUUUUGGCAAACUCUUCUGAUCAGGUUUUUCAUGCUAAUAGACAGAGUUUGAUUAUGUGGUUGGUUUUGGGGGGGUUGGGUUUUUUUUUUUUUUCCGGUAGAAUGAUUAAGUUUAGUUAUUAGGCAAUUAAGGCCAUGGAAUUCCUGACCGUGAAAGUAGUUGCUAAAUGUACUGAAAAUUUAACCACUUGUUUUUCCAAAUAAUGCUUUUGCAUAAAGAAAUCUGAGUUUACUCCAUGCAAAGCAGGGUGAUAUUUCAUCUAUAUGAUUUCUAAGUUACUUCAUGGACCAUAGGUUUCAAACAUGGCUCAAUCUUUUCUUAGGUUUACGGCCUGCAGCUGGUAAAAGUGGUGGUAGAACAGUUAUUGGGGAUGAACGCACCCAGAUGUGGUGGGAUGUUCAAGUUAUCUCUAUCUGUGCUAAACCUAGAGGCGCAACCUUUUUUGCUUAGGCUUCAUCCAGAUGUGGAUGCGCCACUUCAUGCCUGCAGUGGUAUGUCUGCUCACGCCAUGGAGCACUAGGCUGGAUAGCCACUCGCUCUGAGUCUCUGCACCAUGCUCAGUUGUACUUGUAGCUAUGACUCGUGUUUUUCAAAGGAACGUGACAGUGCUUAAAACUCGAUUCAUUGCAUGUUUGCAAAUGACUGUAAGGUAUGGAGCCUAAAUAUUUUCUUCAGUUGAGGGAACUGUAGCUAUAGCAUGAUAGUUAUAUUUCCAAUGUGUUCAGGGUAUUAUCUCUCAAUCUGUAUUGUGGCAACUUCAUCAGUGUUUGCUCUUGAGCUGUGGCUCUCUACAGGGCUUUGAAUUGCAGAGUAGAAGUCUUUGGACUUAAAAUGAUGGAAAUCUGAGGCUGAAUGAACCUGUAAUGAUUUGCAAUGAUUUGCUACUCUGUCAGCUGCCAGUGAGCAGUGUCCUGUAACAAAACUGUUCCCUAGAGUUGCACAGUGGCUCUGGGCCAGAGACACCAGUGGGAAGAGGGUCCAAGCAGCAGAGCUGGGUACGUCCUGUGCCGUGAGGCUGAGUCUCUGUCACUAGAUAUACACAUAAUAAGAUCCCAGGAGAGCAGGAAUUAAACCAGUUACUCUUCUCCAUAAAAGCUUGCUUUUGACAUGUGUCUCUGUACUAUGUUACACAACACUGUUGCAGCAAAAUCCAAAUUGUGUUUUAUUCAGUAUUCCCAGCAGGUAGUCUGCAGAUGCUAGGAAUACAGCUAAGGCUUUAUACCACAUUGCAUUUGAGGCAAAAAUAUUGUGAAGCAGAUAUUAUUGCAGUCAGGAUGCUUCAGCUUACCCAGCUAAGGGAGCUUGUCAUAGUUUGGCUUUGAGAGCAGUCCCUGAGAACAGAGGGUGUUGUUCGGUGAAGCCUGUGCUGAGGUACAGCACGCAUGUGCCCUUUGCUUAUAAAGGGCUGAUCCACAGCCCAUUGAAGCUCUUGAGUGCAAAGAGGUCUUAUUAUAACAGAAUAAAGCUGCAUAUUUCCUAGGCUUCCAACAUGCCAUUAUAAAUCUGCAAUAUGUGCUCGUAAAUAUAAGCAUUUAAGUGUGAGCUGACCCUUAAUGGUCUCCCCAUUUAUUAUAUAGUAUACUGCUCUGUUGCUUGUCAACUUUGAUGGUUAGUUGCUUUUUACAUUUAUGAUAGCUUUCCCAAUUUUCUUACACUUCUACUUGUAUUGGUGAGAGAGAUGAAACACAAGAAAUUCUUCCUUCUGGGGAUCAUUUGUGACUUGAGAAGGAGAAUGUAAAAGUGUCAAUGUAAUUUGGAGAAGGGAGAGGGGAGAGUAUUUUAGAAUGAGAAUACCGUGUGGCUUUUUGUUUUCUUUUUAAUGGAAGCUUUCACUGAAAUUGCUGUCAGGAUUGCUACUUGCAGUGGCUUGAAUAAAGGAUGAUACUUUUCUGAUCUGCUCUCCCUUUCUGGAACUGAAAACUUGUUUUUAUUUCUCUGAACCACCCAGCUAUUAUUUUGAACAUGAUGAGCCAAUCUGUGCAUUGUUACACAGCUGUAAAUCUGAUAUGAUCGCACUUUGAAUUAAAUCGUUCCUAAUUUAAAUCAUCAUUGCUGAGAGCAGAAGUUGAUCCAAUAUAGGUAUGUGUUGGAGAAGCAUGAACUAUGUAAAUUUAAUUAUCUGAAUAAAUGCUUAUCUUGUGUUAUUUA